GUGGGGAAUUUUGGACAAUGGGCGAAAGCCUGAUCCAGCCAUGCCGCGUGCAGGAUGAAGGCCUUCGGGUUGUAAACUGCUUUUGUACGGAACGAAAAGACUCCUUCUAAUAAAGGGGGUCCAUGACGGUACCGUAAGAAUAAGCACCGGCUAACUACGUGCCAGCAGCCGCGGUAAUACGUAGGGUGCAAGCGUUAAUCGGAAUUACUGGGCGUAAAGCGUGCGCAGGCGGUUAUAUAAGACAGAUGUGAAAUCCCCGGGCUCAACCUGGGAACUGCAUUUGUGACUGUAUAGCUAGAGUACGGUAGAGGGGAAUGGAAUUCCGCGUGUAGCAGUGAAAUGCGUAGAUAUGCGGAGGAACACCGAUGGCGAAGGCAAUCCCCUGGACCUGUACUGACGCUCAUGCACGAAAGCGUGGGGAGCAAACAGGAUUAGAAACCCGAGUAGUCC
rnacentral:rRNA from 1 species